rnacentral:lncRNA from 1 species
CAGAAGAUGGAUGGAUGUCAAGACAGAUGGUGGAAAAGUUGUGAGAUGCAAAGCCUCAUGGUACAGCAGCCAUCUUGGAAUCAUGAAGAUAAAAGCCACAAAGACUGGUAGCUCAGGAGGUGGAAGGACUCUGCAUAGUUGAAGACACUAUGAUUAGAUGUGUCAGCCCUGGACUUAAGUACCUCUGCUUUACUUAAUAGGAGAAAAAUAAACCUCUUCCUUCCUUAUGCCAGUCUUCUCGAGUUCCUUGCUACUUGCAGCUGAGUCCAUCCACUCUUGACUGAUAUCACCUAAUCUCAGUUGCUAUCAGAUUAAACAAUGGCAUUACUUUCAGAGGGCCACCAAGAAAAAAUUGCCUGGGAGAAGAGUAAGGAGCCUGAAGAUCUGACUAACUUUCUCUGUAGCCCUUUACUGAGUAGCAGAUUAGCUGAGCUCACAUGAUCAUAUCAACUAGUCAUCACUUUGAUUA